rnacentral:rRNA from 1 species
GGGUGACUGCGUACCUUUUGUAUAAUGGGUCAGCGACUUAUAUUCUGUAGCAAGGUUAACCGUAUAGGGGAGCCGCAGGGAAACCGAGUCUUAACUGGGCGUUAAGUUGCAGGGUAUAGACCCGAAACCCGGUGAUCUAGCCAUGGGCAGGUUGAAGGUUGGGUAACACUAACUGGAGGACCGAACCGACUAAUGUUGAAAAAUUAGCGGAUGACUUGUGGCUGGGGGUGAAAGGCCAAUCAAACCGGGAGAUAGCUGGUUCUCCCCGAAAGCUAUUUAGGUAGCGCCUCGUGAAUUCAUCUUCGGGGGUAGAGCACUGUUUCGGCUAGGGGGUCAUCCCGACUUACCAACCCGAUGCAAACUACGAAUACCGAAGAAUGUUAUCACGGGAGACACACGGCGGGUGCUAACGUCCGUCGUGAAGAGGGAAACAACCCAGACCGCCAGCUAAGGUCCCAAAGUCAUGGUUAAGUGGGAAACGAUGUGGGAAGGCCCAGACAGCCAGGAUGUUGGCUUAGAAGCAGCCAUCAUUUAAAGAAAGCGUAAUAGCUCACUGGUCGAGUCGGCCUGCGCGGAAGAUGUAACGGGGCUAAACCAUGCACCGAAGCUGCGGCAGCGACACUAUGUGUUGUUGGGUAGGGGAGCGUUCUGUAAGCCGUUGAAGGUGGCCUGUGAGGGUUGCUGGAGGUAUCAGAAGUGCGAAUGCUGACAUAAGUAACGAUAAUGCGGGUGAAAAACCCGCACGCCGGAAGACCAAGGGUUCCUGUCCAACGUUAAUCGGGGCAGGGUGAGUCGACCCCUAAGGCGAGGCCGAAAGGCGUAGUCGAUGGGAAACAGGUUAAUAUUCCUGUACUCGGUGUUACUGCGAAGGGGGGACGGAGAAGGCUAUGUUGGCCGGGCGACGGUUGUCCCGGUUUAAGCGUGUAGGUGUGUGUUCCAGGUAAAUCCGGUUCACUUUAACACUGAGGCGUGAUGACGAGGCACUACGGUGCUGAAGUGACAAAUGCCCUGCUUCCAGGAAAAGCCUCUAAGCAUCAGGUAACAUCAAAUCGUACCCCAAACCGACACAGGUGGUCAGGUAGAGAAUACCAAGGCGCUUGAGAGAACUCGGGUGAAGGAACUAGGCAAAAUGGUGCCGUAACUUCGGGAGAAGGCACGCUGAUGGUAAGUGAAGCGACUUGCUCGUGGAGCUGAAAUCAGUCGAAGAUACCAGCUGGCUGCAACUGUUUAUUAAAAACACAGCACUGUGCAAACACGAAAGUGGACGUAUACGGUGUGACGCCUGCCCGGUGCCGGAAGGUUAAUUGAUGGGGUUAUCCUCGCGGAGAAGCUCUUGAUCGAAGCCCCGGUAAACGGCGGCCGUAACUAUAACGGUCCUAAGGUAGCGAAAUUCCUUGUCGGGUAAGUUCCGACCUGCACGAAUGGCGUAAUGAUGGCCAGGCUGUCUCCACCCGAGACUCAGUGAAAUUGAACUCGCUGUGAAGAUGCAGUGUACCCGCGGCAAGACGGAAAGACCCCGUGAACCUUUACUAUAGCUUGACACUGAACACUGGUCCUUGAUGUGUAGGAUAGGUGGGAGGCUUUGAAGUGUGGACGCCAGUCUGCAUGGAGCCAUCCUUGAAAUACCACCCUUUAAUGGCUGGUGUUCUAACGUGGGCCCCUAAUCGGGGUUGCGGACAGUGUCUGGUGGGUAGUUUGACUGGGGCGGUCUCCUCCUAAAGAGUAACGGAGGAGCACGAAGGUCAGCUAAUCCUGGUCGGACAUCAGGAGGUUAGUGCAAUGGCAUAAGCUGGCUUGACUGCGAGCGUGACGGCGCGAGCAGGUGCGAAAGCAGGUCAUAGUGAUCCGGUGGUUCUGAAUGGAAGGGCCAUCGCUCAACGGAUAAAAGGUACUCCGGGGAUAACAGGCUGAUACCGCCCAAGAGUUCAUAUCGACGGCGGUGUUUGGCACCUCGAUGUCGGCUCAUCACAUCCUGGGGCUGAAGUAGGUCCCAAGGGUAUGGCUGUUCGCCAUUUAAAGUGGUACGCGAGCUGGGUUUAGAACGUCGUGAGACAGUUCGGUCCCUAUCUGCCGUGGGCGCUGGAGAAUUGAGGGGGGCUGCUCCUAGUACGAGAGGACCGGAGUGGACGCAUCACUGGUGUUCGGGUUGUCAUGCCAAUGGCAUUGCCCGGUAGCUAAAUGCGGAAGAGAUAAGUGCUGAAAGCAUCUAAGCACGAAACUUGCCCCGAGAUGAGUUCUCCCUGACCCUUUAAGGGUCCUGAAGGAACGUUGAAGACGACGACGUUGAUAGGCCGGGUGUGUAAGCGCAGCGAUGCGUUGAGCUAACCGGUACUAAUGAACCGUGAGGCUUAACCUU